GGUGUAGCUCAAUGGUAAAGUACUUGCCUAGCAUGCAUGAGGCCCUGGGUUCAAUCCCUAGCAUC
rnacentral:tRNA from 1 species